rnacentral:rRNA from 1 species
AUUGAACGCUGGCGGCAGGCCUAACACAUGCAAGUCGAGCGGAGCGGCGGACGGGUGAGUAAUGCCUAGGAAUCUGCCUGGUAGUGGGGGAUAACGUCCGGAAACGGGCGCUAAUACCGCAUACUAUCAGAUGAGCCUAGGUCGGAUUAGCUAGUUGGUGGGGUAAAGGCCUACCAAGGCGACGAUCCGUAACUGGUCUGAGAGGAUGAUCAGUCACGCUGGAACUGAGACCAGGUCCAGAUUCCGUCGGGCGGGCGCAGUUGGGAAUAUUGGACAAUGGGCGAAAGCCUGCUCCAGCCCUGCCGCGUGUGGGAGGAAGGUCUUCGGAUUGUAAAGCACUUUAAGUUGGGCGGCGUUGGCAGAAGAAUACGCACCGUCUAACUUCGUGCCAGCAGCCGCGGUAAUAC